rnacentral:rRNA from 1 species
UACGUAGGGUGCGAGCGUUGUCCGGAAUUAUUGGGCGUAAAGGGCUCGUAGGCGGUUUGUCGCGUCGGGAGUGAAAACUCAGGGCUUAACCCUGAGCCUGCUUCCGAUACGGGCAGACUAGAGGUAUGCAGGGGAGAACGGAAUUCCUGGUGUAGCGGUGAAAUGCGCAGAUAUCUGGAGGAACACCGGUGGCGAAGGCGGCAUCCUGGACCGGUAUUGACGCUGAGGCGCGAAAGCCAGGGAGCAAGCGGGAUUAAGAUGACC